GCCUGGGUGGCUCAGUCAGUUGAGCAUCCGACUUUGGUUCAGGUCAUGAUCUCACAGUUCGUGGGUUCAAGACCCGCAUCAGGCU
rfam:Felis catus isolate Cinnamon breed Abyssinian chromosome B4, whole genome shotgun sequence.